rnacentral:rRNA from 1 species
CGCUGGCGGCGUGCCUAACACAUGCAAGUCGGACGGGUCCCGGGUAGCAAUAUCUGGGACUAGUGGCGAACGGGUGAGUAACACGUGGGUAACCUGCCCUCGAGUGGGGAAUAAGCUCCCGAAAGGGGGUCUAAUACCGCAUAACGUUUCCUGACGAUGGUCUGGAAACCAAAGCCCAAAAGGCGCUCGAGGAGGGGCCUGCGGCCUAUCAGCUAGUUGGUAGGGUAAUGGCCUACCAAGGCUACGACGGGUAGCCGGCCUGAGAGGGUGUCCGGCCACACUGGGACUGAGACACGGCCCAGA